rnacentral:rRNA from 1 species
UUCGGAUUGCAGCCUGCAACUCGGCUGCAUGAAGCUGGAAUCGCUAGUAAUCGCGGAUCAGAAUGCCGCGGUGAAUACGUUCCCGGGUCUUGUACACACCGCCCGUCACACCAUGGGAGUCGGGAAUGCCCGAAGUCAGUGACCCAACCGAAAGGGGGGAGCUGCCGAAGGCAGGCCUGGUAACUGGGGUGAAGUCGUAACAAGGUAUC